GCUGGGCAUGGUGGCUCCAUGCCUGUAAUCCCUGAACCUUGGGAGGCUGAGGUGGGAGGCUUGCUUGAGCCUGGGAGGUCAAGGCUGCAGUGAGCCAUGAUUCUGCCACUGCACUGUAGCCUAGGUGACAAAGUGAGACCCUGUCUCUC
rnacentral:SRP_RNA from 1 species